CCGGAUUUAUUGGGUUUAAAGGGUGCGUAGGCGGCUUUGUAACUCAGCGGUGAAACUUUGCACCUUAACUGUCGGGCGCCGUUGAUACUGUGAAGCAAGGUUUUGGUUGCUGUGGGCGGAAUGUGUGGACUAGCGGUGAAAUGCAUAUAGAUCACACAGAAUAUCGAUUGCCAAGGCUGCUCAUGGCUUUAUAUUGACGCUUGGCUCCCAAAGUGUGGGGUCUCAACAGGAUUACCUUCCCUGGUAGUCCGCACUGCAAACGAUGAUAACUCUCUGUACUUGAUAGACCCCCGGUGGUCAAGCGAAUUCGAUAAGUUAUCCACCUGGGGAGUACGACCUCAAUGAUGAAACUCAAAGGAAUUGACUGGGGUCCGCACAAGCGGAAGAACAUGUGGUUUAAUUCGAUGAUACACGAGGAACCUUACCCCCUGUCGAACUGUGCAUGAAUAAUACAGAGAUGGGAUUACCCCUUCGUGACAUGUAUGUCAGGUGCUGCAUGGGUGUCUUCCCGCUCCUGCCGAGAGGAGUCCGCGUAACUGCCAUUAGCGAGCGCCACCCGUCGACAUUAUUUGACCAUCAAGUCUAGCUGCGGGUACUCUACUGAGACUGCCACCGUAAGGGUGUAGAUGAAGGGGCGGGAUGACGUCAAAUCACCCACGGCCCUUUAUGACCUCGGCGACACACGUGUUCACACUGGGGAAGUACAAAACGGCAUGCGAAUCAAUGAUAACCGCCGCCAUCCUCGAAAAACUUUGGCCAGUAAGGACUGCGAUUCUCCCACGUCGUUUCCCCUGGAGGUCGAUAACUAGAAUCCCCGCAUAAGA
rnacentral:rRNA from 1 species